GACGAACGCUGGCGGCGUGCUUAGCACAUGCAAGUCGAACGGAAAGGCCCUGCUUUUGUGGGGUGCUCGAGUGGCGAACGGGUGAGUAACACGUGAGUAACCUGCCCUUGACUUUGGGAUAACUUCAGGAAACUGGGGCUAAUACCGGAUAGGAGCUCCUGCUGCAUGGUGGGGGUUGGAAAGUUUCGGCGGUUGGGGAUGGACUCGCGGCUUAUCAGCUUGUUGGUGGGGUAGUGGCUUACCAAGGCUUUGACGGGUAGCCGGCCUGAGAGGGUGACCGGCCAAAUGGGGACGGGGAUACGGCCAAGACUCCUACGGAGGCAGCAGUGGGGAAUAUUGCACAAUGGGCGGAAGCCUGAUGCAGCAACGCCGCGUGCGGGAUGACGGCCUUCGGGUUGUAAACCGCUUUCGCCUGUGACGAAGCGUGAGUGACGGUAAUGGGUAAAGAAGCACCGGCUAACUACGUG
rnacentral:rRNA from 1 species